GACGAACGCUGGCGGCGUGCUUAACACAUGCAAGUCGAACGGAAAGGCCCUGCUUGCAGGGUACUCGAGUGGCGAACGGGUGAGUAACACGUGGGUGAUCUGCCCUGCACUUCGGGAUGAGCCUGGGAAACUGGGUCUAAUACCGGAUAGGAGCCAUUUUUAGUGUGAUGGUUGGAAAGUUUUUUCGGUGUAGGAUGAGCUCGCGGCCUAUCAGCUUGUUGGUGGGGUAAUGGCCUACCAAGGCGGCGACGGGUAGCCGGCCUGAGAGGGUGGACGGCCACAUUGGGACUGAGAUACGGCCCAGACUCCUACGGGAGGCAGCAGUGGGGAAUAUUGCACAAUGGGCGCAAGCCUGAUGCAGCGACGCCGCGUGGGGGAUGACGGCCUUCGGGUUGUAAACUCCUUUCGCUAGGGACGAAGCUUUUGUGACGGUACCUAGAUAAGAAGCACCGGCUAACUACGUG
rnacentral:rRNA from 1 species